CUGGAGAAGGGAGUGGCUAUGCACCCCAGUAUUCUUGCCUGGAGAAUCCUAUGGACAGAGGACCUGGCGGGCUGUAGGUGGGCUGCAGAGUCGAACAUGCCUGAGCACACACAGAGCUCCUAUACGACCUGGCUCCUCUUCAAAGCUGUCCCUCAGGGCCAUCUGAGAGGCUGUCUUCCCAGCUUAUGGUUCUCAAUUUUUAGGUUGUGUUUUUCUUUUUCAGUCCAGAGGUUCACAGAGUCACCUUUGAGGCCAGACUCAGCCACCUUUCCCUAACUUCGGGGCUGCCUGGAGGAACGUGGAACCCAACAGAGGUGCUAGAGAAACAGAAGGAGGAACUAAGAGUGAAUGGCACUCAUCCCCUGAGAGCAGAGCAAAGCAAAGCAAAGUAAGAAGGACAACUCGCCAUGUCCCCAGCCACUUCCUCUGACACACGGUUUGGAAACCCUGACGACCCCCCUGGAGAAAAGUCUGAUGCAGUCAGUUGCAAGAGCUGGGUCAGCCCCUAGGUCUUACUGAACUCAGUACAUCAAGAGCACUGUCCCUAUGGAACAAAUCCUGGGCUUCAGAGAGGUUAGGGAUUGGCCAGUCUGGUGGGGGUCCACUGGCCUAGGCUCCAGGCCCUGUGUCUCUCAUUCUGCUUGAUCAGCAGGCUCCCAGGGGCAGGUUCUUCUCACCAUGAAGACCACAAUACAAGAAGGCAAGACCUCCUGCACAAGUACGUGCCAAGACUUUGCUCAUGUUUCUGUUAAAAUUCCACUAGCCAAAGGAAGUAACACGGCUAAGCCAAAUAAUCACAGCCCCUCAUUCACCCAGCUCUGGAAAUGAAGAACUCACCUCUUUAUUUAUCACUGCAAGAGAUUCAGGGGCAGCUUCAAUUGGGGGUCGAGUGACGUGGAGCCUCUGUCUGCUUGAAUGGCCCCCUCCAGAGCUUCCACUGCACAGGAGAAACAAAUCUCAAGUGUGUAACCACCAAUUCCAGUGAACUGUUGUAUUUUGCCUCUUCAGCUCCCCUCAAGGUAGAACCCCGAGGGGACAAUUACAAACAUCGGGCCAAGAGAUAGAACACAGGGCACUUCUUUUUCUGCCGCAGGAGAAGUCAAUUAGGGUUUCAAUUUCCACUGUUAAAUGUCACCUUUUUACAACAUCCUGGAGGAGAGCCGGCAGCCCUGUCCUUAGGGGGGCGAAAAAAACUCUUUCAAGGAAAGGCUUAUUGUCUGAAAAGACACAGAAGGGUCCAAAGAUUAAAGGGCCCACUCAGGCUCUCCGGAUUUCCCGGAGCUCUUGGUUUCUAUUUCCAGCUGAACAUCUGGCUCCCUGGUAGCCCCCAGUGAGUCUUUUGAGCCUCCCUGCCUCACUUUUCUACCGGUUGCAAAAAGAGAUGAUAAACCAGGCUGCCACACAAUGCAUAUAAAGUGCCCCCAAGGAGUGAGGAAGGGAGGCAGACUUCUCGAAGGAGAGAGCUGUCAGCAUGUUUUCUCCUGAUCUUCAGGUAUCUCCAGUGUCUGGAACCCCUCAUUAGAGCAUGUGGUCCUUCCCCUGAGAAGUCAGAUGAGAGACAGAAUCAAUGGAGCCAAGAAACUCCCUUCUCUUGUCUCUGCUGCAAGGCAGAUGAGUCAAACUGCAUGAUGGCCGGUCAGUCUUCUUCACUCACUAACACUCUGUGCCCUAUUUUCAAAAGGAGGAGCAUGUUGUUGGCAUGGCUGAAAGAUUAAACACUCCCACUCCAUCGCUACAGCCACUAGUGGGUAUUUUAUCACAAUUUCUGUGCAGGAACUUUCUGUCCACAAAAACCCUUCCUCCACCCAGAUGGGUGAGACUGAGAGUAUCUCCAGUUUCUAAAGUUAGGUCAUAAAUCGCUCUCCUGCUUGCAGGGUGGUGUUGCCCCUGAAAAGAUCCCAUCUGUUCAUGGUCUGCAACUUAUUUUGAAAUGCAUUCAAAAAUCAAGAAGGGCUCGUGCACUUUUAAAUUUUUUUUAAUUAUUUAAAACUUUUUUUCUGUUUUCAAUUAUAGGGGAACUCAU